rnacentral:rRNA from 1 species
UACGUAGGGUGCGAGCGUUAAUCGGAAUUACUGGGCGUAAAGCGUGCGCAGGCGGCUUUGUAAGACAGAGGUGAAAUCCCCGGGCUUAACCUGGGAACUGCCUUUGAUACUGCUAGGCUUGAGUGUGGCAGAGGGGGGUGGAAUUCCGCGUGUAGCAGUGAAAUGCGUAGAUAUGUGGAGGAACACCGAUGGCGAAGGCAAUCCCCUGGGCCUGCACUGACGCUCAUGCACGAAAGCGUGGGGAGCAAACAGG